GUUUCUAUAGUUGAAUAACAACGAUGAUUUUUCAUGUCAUUGGUCAUA
rnacentral:tRNA from 2 species